UUCUAUGGGUGGGCCAUGGCGGGGGAGCGCUCGCGCUCGCCGGUGCCAACGUUCCGGUCUGUCAACCCUGUCAUGUGCCCGCCCACCCCA
ncrna:Burkholderia pseudomallei K96243 C4 antisense RNA